GCGUCGUUCGUAUAAUGGUAGUACAUCUGGCUUUUAACCAGAAAAGUCUGAGUUCGAAUCUCAGGCGACGCACCA
rnacentral:tRNA from 1 species